rnacentral:rRNA from 1 species
GACGAACGCUGGCGGCGUGCUUAACACAUGCAAGUCGAACGGAAAGGCCUCUUUCGGGGGGUACUCGAGUGGCGAACGGGUGAGUAACACGUGAGUAACCUGCCCUUGACUUUGGGAUAACUUCAGGAAACUGGGGCUAAUACCGGAUAGGAGCUCCUGCUGCAUGGUGGGGGUUGGAAAGUUUCGGCGGUUGGGGAUGGACUCGCGGCUUAUCAGCUUGUUGGUGGGGUAGUGGCUUACCAAGGCUUUGACGGGUAGCCGGCCUGAGAGGGUGAUCGGCCACAUUGGGACUGAGAUACGGCCCAGACUCCUACGGGAGGCAGCAGUGGGGAAUAUUGCACAAUGGGUGGAAGCCUGAUGCAGCAACGCCGUGUGCGGGAUGACGGCCUUCGGGUUGUAAACCGCUUUCGCUCAUGACGAAGCUUUGUGUGACGGUAGUGGGUAAAGAAGCACCGGCUAACUACGUG